GAGAUAAUUUUUGUAGUGUUAAUUAUAAUUUUUAAUCAAACAAUAUAAGUAAUAUAAAACAUUUUUUGAAGACCAAAAUUAAAUAUAACAUAAAUUAAUAAAGAUAUCAAAAAUAAAAAUAGUUUAAAAAUAUAUUAAAAGCUUAAAAUAGUUUUAAAUGAAACAUCAAAAAUAAAAACAUGUCGAAAAUUAAAUAUAACCAAAAUGUUCUUGUUUAAAGUAAAAAGAUCAAAUCUGAAUUGUAAAUGUAGUUUAACAUGUAUAUAUUGUCUUGUUGCUACCCUAGCACACCCUUGAGUGAUAUUUUUCCCCUUCUUGUUGCUACCUUCAACCACUCUUUUAGCUAAAACACAAACCAUUCCAUUAUUUCAAGAGGAUACACAUUUAACACAUAAUGGUUCCAACUAAAUAGUCCAAAUAAAAAUAAACUUAACAAAAAACCAAAGGCAAAAUGAAUGGAAAACAUGAAAAUGUCCUUAGCAACCAUGUAAAUGCCAGAUAAAAUCUGCAACUUUUGAAUCAAUCAAAAUAGAUGAAAACCAGUGGAAAAAUGAGGGUAAUGAACGAUUGCCUGCAACUCAAUACAAAAAUCUUACGAUGGACUGGUGAUCAAGUUAUAAUGUCUCUGUCCAAUCAACUAUCAACAUUAUGAACGAUACCCUUAAUUUAAAUUGCAUAAAACAGAUGAAGAUAGGUACAAAAUAUGAUCAUGCUUUCAUUAGUUUUUAAGGAGAAUUACUAUACAACCUUAGAAAAUAGAAACUCAAUUAUCUGUUGCCUUCAAAAUGUAGAGGCAGAUUAAUAACAAAGAAAACCAAUAGAAAGUUACAACUACAAACUUAAAUAUUAAAUAUUCGAGAUUCAUUCAGCCAAUUCGAUAUUAAAAAAAUUGAGACUUUGAAAUUAUAAAUGAACGAAGCAUACUAGAUCAAAUUAGAUUUAAAUUAAAUAUAAUAUCAUUGACUCACUGUGGCAAGCAAUCACCAAUGAUUUGAGCACAUAUAUAUGCAUAAUAUAUAUUUGAAGUCAAUAUGGUAAAAUGGUCCAUCCUCAUGCAAAUGUUAUCAAUACAAAUCAGCAAUGAUUAAAAAAACCAUCCUACAUUAGUUGCAAUCUCAGAGUCAGAUCAUACAAACAAUUGACUAUCAAAUGAUUAAGAUGGACUAAGAUUCAUGCUUGUGCUAAGCAAGAUUUGCAAAAGCACUAAGCCUGAGUCAGAUCCAUGCUUGUGUUAACUAACUAUACCACAACCACAUAAAGACCGAAAGAACAUCCAUAAAAAAAACUUACAAAUUCAUAAGAUUUGUAAUAAUAUCACGAGUCAUGGAAUUGGAAAUUCUGUAGAAUUUAAAGAAAAUCAUAUCUUCGUUAAGACUAUUGUGAGGGUUUCUACUUAGAACUAACCCAUUAACAUUUUAAAUAGAACACAAAUUUCAACAAUGGAACUGAAUACCGCAGAAAGUUAGCAUCACAUAAUUACUGCCAAAAAAUGCAAUAAAGGGCUUUAUCCGAUCUUUAAGUCUGAAAAUGAGUACAUGCAUGGUAAACACUUUUUACUUGGUACUAUCAAUACUAAGAAAAUGAAAAAGAUGAAAUGAAUUUGCUACCUUAGCCAACAAAUUUGAAUCCAGCAAAACAAAAAGGAUGGCGAGAUUACAGACAAAAACUAAGUAGGUAUAUCAUUUUAUUGCAUUCCACUUCUAAAUCUUUCCUAGAGAGCAUAUGAAUGAAAAAGUACACUCAUUUUCUAUCAUUAUUCCCACCAAUCCUCUAUCCGCCUAGUUUUCAAAACACUCCACCAAUAAAAUUUUAAAGUUAACCACAACAACAUAAUGUAUACGGUACAUUCCAAUAGGGCAGAAAAUGCAAAGAAACAAAUGCUCUUACUUCUUUCAACUUAUAACAUUAUACUAACAAAAUUUAAGAAAAAUAAAGACAGAAGAGGAAGAAAAAGUAGCAUUUAAGGUUAAGAACAUAGUUUGAAAAUUACCCUGUUCUCACCGUAUUCUUCUGAAUACUCUGAUCCAUCUCAUCUGAAACAUGUGAUCUAAAAAGCACAUCAAACUGUAUCAAAUAAAGCAUUAUUAAACAAAAUCCAGUAAAAAGUAGUGCAUAAAGUCUCGAGUUAACAAACUUGUUAUGGAAUUCAUAAGCACUGUCACGAAGCAAUUCAAGAUCAAAAUAAUGAUGCUGGUAAAACUUUAUCUAAAACCCGAUACAGUAGCUAAAUCUCUAUGCAACUUAUGAUUUUCUAAGCAUAUUAGCACAUAUUUCGAAUUUCUCUUUAAUUUAACUUCAAUGGUUUUCUCAACUGAAAUUCUUUGUUCAGCUUAAAAUGCAACUAGCCCAACAUUUUAGAAUCAAAAUUGAAAGAAAAAAAAAGCAAAGCAAUGGAAAAUUUACUAGUAAAACGAUUUCCUCAUCUCCCCCGCCUCUGUUUUCUUUUUCUUUUUCUUGCUCAAAAACUCUGUAACUGAUUCAAAGCUCAAAAUCCAAAACCCCAUCAACCCAUUUACCACAAACAAAAAAUUCCAACCUGAAAUUGAAACAAGCAACUUGAAAUCCCUUACAAUAAAAAGAAAUGACCAACAAUUCGAAAAAAAAGCUUAGCUUUCUAACCCUAAAUUGCCCUAAAAUAAUCGGAUCAACCAAUUGACUGAUUUUUUUUUCAAAAAAUCAUUUUUUUCACAACUCCCUACUAGUGCAAUACAAGAAAAGAAGCAAAGAGAUGAAAUUAUCAAUCACAUGUUUAAGAUUAAACAAAAACCUAAUGAAACAAGAAAAAUAUAAUAUUUCAUGCCUCUGGUUCAUAGAUUAUCUCGAUCAUAUUGUAAAAUUCCUCAAUAGGUCGCUCCUUCUGCCUCACCACAAUAGCAGCUGCUAUUGCCGAAGAAACGAUCAAAAGGCCUCUCUAUUUUCUGUCUCUAUUUUCUCUCUAUUUUGUCAAAGGGAGAUCGGGUUGGUGAGGAUAGAAGCAUGAAAAAGAGGGAGAUAAGGUUGGAAGGAAAUGAGAAGAAGAAUAAGAAAGAGGAAAGCUUUAGACGUGAGAAAGAAAGGGUAAUAAGAGGAAAAUUUUCUCCCACCCAUUCGUUGAAUAGAUAUUCCCAACCCAGACCACCAAAUUGUAAACGUUACUUUUGCCUUGAAUAAUCCCGUUUGGAAUAAGGCUGUAAUAGCUCGUUACAGCCAACCACACAAUGGCUUAGUGAUGGG
rnacentral:lncRNA from 1 species